AGAGCCCCAACCAGACUGUCUUGCGAAUCUGGACAAGAUGGCCCUUCUUGAGUCAGUCUGGACUCCAGACUGAGGUGCACUAAAGCCAAGAGAGAGAGCGGGCUCCAGCAUCUACUGUAUCUCUUCCUACACAGUGUAAACAGAGAAUGCCAGUUGGAAUCCUUUUGUUUCUUCUUCUUGCCAACUUUCUUCCUAGAACGUCCAACUCACUGUUGACUAGAAAUAUCUAUCGAAGGUGGUAUCCCCAUCUUACUGUUCAUCUGUGGGCUUUCACAGGUGUCCUCUAUCGGCAGGAGGUGUGUUCUCUUCUUGGUCCUCCCUCAACAACUGCUUUCCUUAUGAAGAGGCACUAGAUUUAUGUACCCCAUACUUUGUCUGUGUCUAUUGGGAUGGCCAUGUGUUUUUUAAACAUUUAUCUC
rnacentral:lncRNA from 1 species